rnacentral:rRNA from 1 species
UACGAAGGAGGCUAGCGUUGCUCGGAAUCACUGGGCGUAAAGCGCACGUAGGCGGAUCUUUAAGUCAGGGGUGAAAUCCUGGAGCUCAACUCCAGAACUGCCUUUGAUACUGGGGAUCUCGAGUCCGGGAGAGGUGAGUGGAACUGCGAGUGUAGAGGUGAAAUUCGUAGAUAUUCGCAAGAACACCAGUGGCGAAGGCGGCUCACUGGCCCGGUACUGACGCUGAGGUGCGAAAGCGUGGGGAGCAAACAGG